rnacentral:rRNA from 1 species
UACGAAGGGGGCUAGCGUUGCUCGGAAUCACUGGGCGUAAAGCGCACGUAGGCGGCUUUUUAAGUCAGGGGUGAAAUCCUGGAGCUCAACUCCAGAACUGCCUUUGAUACUGAGAAGCUUGAGUCCGGAAGAGGUGAGUGGAACUCCGAGUGUAGAGGUGAAAUUCGUAGAUAUUCGGAAGAACACCAGUGGCGAAGGCGGCUCACUGGUCCGGUACUGACGCUGAGGUGCGAAAGCGUGGGGAGCAAACAGGG